rnacentral:rRNA from 1 species
AAAACAAUGAGUUUGAUCAUGGCUCAGAUUGAACGCUGGCGGCAUGCCUAACACAUGCAAGUCGAACGGUAACAGGUCUUCGGAUGCUGACGAGUGGCGGACGGGUGAGUAAUGCGUAGGAAUCUGUCUUUUAGUGGGGGACAACCCAGGGAAACUUGGGCUAAUACCGCAUGAGCCCUGAGGGGGAAAGCGGGGGAUCUUCGGACCUCGCGCUAAGGGAAGAGCCUACGUCUGAUUAGCUAGUUGGUAGGGUAAAGGCCUACCAAGGCGACGAUCAGUAGCUGGUCUGAGAGGACGACCAGCCACACUGGGACUGAGACACGGCCCAGACUCCUACGGGAGGCAGCAGUGGGGAAUUUUUCGCAAUGGGGGCAACCCUGACGAAGCAAUGCCGCGUGGAUGAAGAAGGCCUCGGUUGUAAGUACUUCGUGGGG